UUAUCAAAUGGGUGCAAAACCAUGCCAAAGCCUUAGGACACUGCUGCGUAGCUAAACUUGCCUUCACCACGAUUAGC
rnacentral:tRNA from 1 species